rnacentral:rRNA from 1 species
CUAAGGCUGAGACACGACGUCGAGCUGCUACGGCAGUGAAGUCAUUGAUGCCAUGCUUCCAGGAAAAGCCUCUAAGCUUCAGAUAGUCAGGAAUCGUACCCCAAACCGACACAGGUGGUCGGGUAGAGAAUACCAAGGCGCUUGAGAGAACUCGGGUGAAGGAACUAGGCAAAAUGGUACCGUAACUUCGGGAGAAGGUACGCUCUUGAUGGUGAAGUCCCUCGCGGAUGGAGCUGACGAGAGUCGCAGAUACCAGGUGGCUGCAACUGUUUAUUAAAAACACAGCACUGUGCAAAAUCGCAAGAUGACGUAUACGGUGUGACGCCUGCCCGGUGCCGGAAGGUUAAUUGAUGGGGUUAGCGCAAGCGAAGCUCUUGAUCGAAGCCCCGGUAAACGGCGGCCGUAACUAUAACGGUCCUAAGGUAGCGAAAUUCCUUGUCGGGUAAGUUCCGACCUGCACGAAUGGCGUAAUGAUGGCCACGCUGUCUCCACCCGAGACUCAGUGAAAUUGAAAUCGCUGUGAAGAUGCAGUGUACCCGCGGCUAGACGGAAAGACCCCGUGAACCUUUACUACAGCUUGGCACUGAACAUUGAACCUACAUGUGUAGGAUAGGUGGGAGGCUAUGAAGACGUGACGCCAGUUGCGUUGGAGCCGUCCUUGAAAUACCACCCUUGUAUGUUUGAUGUUCUAACUUAGACCCAUUAUCUGGGUUGAGGACAGUGCCUGGUGGGUAGUUUGACUGGGGCGGUCUCCUCCCAAAGAGUAACGGAGGAGCACGAAGGUGGGCUAAUCACGGUUGGACAUCGUGAGGUUAGUGCAAUGGCAUAAGCCCGCUUAACUGCGAGAAUGACGGUUCGAGCAGGUGCGAAAGCAGGUCAUAGUGAUCCGGUGGUUCUGUAUGGAAGGGCCAUCGCUCAACGGAUAAAAGGUACUCCGGGGAUAACAGGCUGAUACCGCCCAAGAGUUCAUAUCGACGGCGGUGUUUGGCACCUCGAUGUCGGCUCAUCACAUCCUGGGGCUGAAGUCGGUCCCAAGGGUAUGGCUGUUCGCCAUUUAAAGUGGUACGCGAGCUGGGUUUAGAACGUCGUGAGACAGUUCGGUCCCUAUCUGCCGUGGGCGUUGGAAGAUUGAAGGGGGCUGCUCCUAGUACGAGAGGACCGGAGUGGACGAACCUCUGGUGUUCGGGUUGUGUCGCCAGACGCAUUGCCCGGUAGCUAAGUUCGGAAUUGAUAAGCGCUGAAAGCAUCUAAGCGCGAAGCGAGCCCUGAGAUGAGUCUUCCCUGAUACUUUAAGUAUCCUAAAGGGUUGUUCGAGACUAGAACGUUGAUAGGCAGGGUGUGUAAGCGUUGUGAGGCGUUGAGCUAACCUGUACUAAUUGCCCGUGAGGCUUAACCAU